CUUGUGCUGUGGGUUUCUCCGCUCUGUACAUCUCUCUUUCCGAGAAAAGGAGAAUGUCCCGUUCCACUAUAAAAGAGGAAGUCGGGGAGGAUUCUUUUUGGCAGAUUUCUCGGAUGAAAAUAAAACGCAAAUGCAGCAAUAAUAUAUCUGAGAACUGUUUAUUGAUACAAAACGCACAUGAAGGGGCAAUGUCAGAAGCAACAGCAGUACAGGCUGGCCUUCGACAUCACACUCAAGGCCUGCAAAGACUGUGAAGAGCAGUUUGGAAUAGAAAAGGGAAGCUGAAUCCUGCUUUGCCACCAUAUUGAGCAGCAGCAGGAAAAAAAAUCAUCCGAGUUAUGGUGGUAAUGCAUAGCUGAGACAACUUGUGUGGUGCAGCACGGCAUGUGGGCUGCAAUAGCCAGUGUCGCUUCUGCCCCACUCCUUCGCUUCUUGGCUGAUGCAGGGAGGUGCCUUCCUCUUGCUGCUUAGCUUUCACUGCUGUAUGGAAUUAGGAUAGGAGGGCAUGCAACAGUAUUCUAUAGGAAGGUUACCUACAGUGCUUUCCCCUGACAGAACAGAUCUCUUCUGGCCUCAACAAGGGGAUUGUCAACAGCACACUGAAGAGCCUCAUCACUGCUGGACAGCUUAGGUGGUCGCAUGCCCACCACACCACUGGACUGGAGGCACUGCUGGCAGUCCCUAGUCCAAUGCCACACUCAGAGCAAGGUCACUUUGAACAGGUUUUUCAUGUGUUUAACAUGAGUUUCCUGUACUUUGUGUCACAUUGCUUCUUCUUAUUGGAUACCACUGAGAAAAGUCUGAUUGUUUUCUUCACUAACCUCCUUAAAUAUUUAUACAUAGGGUUAACAUUCCCCAUUGGGCUUCUACAGGAUAAACAGUCCCAUCUCUUUCAGCUUCCCCUUGUAUAAAAGAUGCUCUGGUCCAUUCAUCAUGCUUGGAUGAAUUUUCUUCAUUCCUCCAGUCUGUACUGUCUCUUGUAUUAUGUGUCCAGGAGUGGACUUAGCACUCCAGGCAUAUCUCACCAGGGCUGAUCACAGAGGAAAGAUCAGCUCUUGAACUGCUGAUAACACUCCUCUUAAUGCAGUCCAAGGGGCUAUUUGACAUAUUUGUCAUGAGGGCAGAUUACUGGUUGUGGUGAGCUUGGUGUCUCCUGGGGAAUUGGGUCCUUCCCUGCCAAACUGUUUUUCAGCUGGGUGACUCCUGCAUGUACAGGCUGAACCUGGUCCUCUUAAUUGCAGGACUUUCCAUUUCCCUUUAUUCAGCUUCAUGAGCUUUCUCUUGGCAUUUUUCUACAAACUUUUGAGGGCCCUCUGAAUGGUAGCACAGCCCUCUGGUGUACAGAGGUGCACAUGCUACCCUGCAAAACUUCCUGCCACUCUUGCUAUUGGGCUUCUUUCAGCUCGCCAAGUUCCUCAGCUUCCCUCAGCAGCUGUUUUCCGGUUACUCGAUUAGUCUCAGCAUCUCUAAAAUUCAGAUCCUCUCCAUGCCAGAGAGUGACAUUGAAAGUCCAGCAUCAGCUCUCCUACUGAGUGUUGUCUCUACUGUGCCAUUCUUAACCCCAAUGCUCCUGUUCCCCUUAAGCUCCGUACCUGACUUGUAUUAGGUACAGUAAUUUCAACAUGUAAUUAUGCACAUACAUGUGCUUAUCUGUGCUUUAGGAAUGAGGGCAAAGAGAACAAUGCAGUGAGUGCCCAAGUCCGUAUGCUGGAGAUAGUUUCUAUUGCCCUAUUAGAUCUCUUUUCCCUCUGUGCAGCCAAAUUCUAACUGAGGCUCUUGAGUUUUGUUUUUAGGAGACAAAACUUUGCCUUUAACUGGCUUGGUGCUACUUAUCCAUCACUGCUGGAGGCUCCUUGUAGUGUCUCACCCGGACUCAGGUAAAGGACAUGAUGAAGCCCGUCAGUUACCCAAGCUCAAAUAUUUGACAGGCAAAAAUGAGCAGGCCAGCUAAGCUAAGGAAUGGCUACUCAUAUGCUUUGUCAGCUCCCACAGUGUUGGUGAGAGGCUGGCCAGUUGCAUCAGCAUGACAUUUGGUCAAUUUUUCUUGGUAUCACAUUGGUGACAGGAGGACUGUGAAGAUGGUGCAUUGGCAGUGAUGGGUCUCACUCACCUCUGAGUCCAGGGAGCCUGCCAGAAAAUUCUCCUCUGUGGUAUGAAAACCACAUGCAUUUUUCUUGCUGAAGAGUUAGAUGACAAAUAAGUCCACAACACUUCUGCAUUGUUAUGUUUAUUUUAUUUAUAUUUGUAUUCCAUUGCUUCAUCCAUUAAGAUUGGUUUGAAAAGUAAACUUUGUUUUUCUUUUAAUGACUACAACAGUUAAUGUUGAUCUCUCUUCCUAUACAGUUGAAACAUUGUUUAAUAACAAACAACUAAAAAAGUCCAAGACAAAUGUGACAGCAUUAAAAAAAAAAAAAAUAACACACCAAACAGAGCUGAUGCAUGGAGGAAGAAAAGGAAUCAACCACUUAUUUUUCAGAAAGAUGCAUUUCCCUAAAAAUUACCAAAAUUAGAAAAAAAAGUAUUUUAUGGGAAAGAGCAGGGAGUGUACACAUGCAUAUGCUGAUGCUUCCACAUCCAUAUCCCCAAACACAUACACACAGAGAUAUAUAUGUGUGUGUGUGUGUGUAUAUAUAUAUAUAUAUAUAUAAAUUAUACUACUUAUAUCUGUCUUUAAAACAGAAAACUUAUUAAAACACAGAACAGAAGUUACUUUAAAAGCUCUAACAUAUUUGCCUAAACCUUGGAAAUCACUGCCUAUUUAGCAUAGAACACAUAAAAAAUCAACUUUGAUAACUUUUUAAUCAAAUGUACACCUUCACCAGGUUUUUAGUGCUGAUUUGGCUUGCUUUGCCUUUGGAAUAAUCUCCAUAAUUAUUAAAAAUGUCUUUUAUUAAAAAUUUCUUCCAAGAUAUAGGAAAAAAUGUCUAAAUACUGACCACUAUACUGGAUGCCCCAGUGUUAUCCCCUUUCUAAAGCCCAUAGAGCAUGCUUUACUAUAGCUAUCAUAUUUCUAUUUUACAUGUAGUGACUGCUGUUUUGCUGCUCUUGCAGGAACCUCUUGCUCUCGCUUUUGUUCUUCUGAAGAGAUGGUAAACAGCCAGCCCAUGAUGGUCUCUCUUCAGAGGGCAUAGGUGAGAAGAAGCCCUUCUAGAGGCACAGAGCCAAGUGAAAAAGCGGCUUUUAGUAACAGCAAUGUCCUUGGGGAAGCAAAAGGAACACUGAAAGGCUGAAGGCUGGCUCUGAGACCUCCCAUCCAGAAAAUGAGAAACCUCAAGAACACGCAGAGAAGGUAAAAAGCAACAGGAAGGAGUAGCAUUUUGUGAUACAUCUCCAAAACGUGUAAUUUAUUUAACCCAGAGGUGCUUAAAGUCCUUUUAGUCUGUUGUUAAUAGAGACUUGACAAGAGUGGCUUCCCAACUACAGAGUAUCAUUCUCUGUAGACAGACAAGGAAUUCUCUCUCAACAGACAAGGAAUUUGUGGUCACUGAGGACAAUGUUCACCCAUUAAGUUUCUGCACAUCUUGAAUUGUUGUUUGUAGGUCCCUGUAAAGUUACACCUUAUCUGUUUUCCUCUCUUUCCCUGCCUUGUUCUUAAUGAAUCCAUUAAUCAGGAGAGUCAACUUGCCCGAUGUAAGUUUUGCUGCUUUAGAGCCUGAGUUCUUGGAGAAAAUGAGUAAGUUUCCUAAGUCUCCAGCUUCUCUCAAAUCUGAUAGAAAUCAUCAAUUUCGCUGUUGUGUAUUAGUAAAAAACCCCCACCCUUCAAAAGACCCUGGGACUCCAUUGUUCAUAAAAUCUAAGGGAGGUUAUGUUCAGUUUUGUUUCGUAUUACAGUUGUCACUAAUGCAUGUUGACAUAAACCAGAAGUUCAUUACAAAAUAUCUUAUUACAGAGACAAUCAAUGAAAGCUCUCAAGUCUUUAAUAACUGAAGUCAAGCUUGGUGUCACAGGAACCUUUCACAACCCUUCAUUACUUCAGAGUAUUGCUGAGUUUCAAUCAUUUGAAAUGAUUCCUCUAUAAAGGCACUAAGAAGUGCCUUGAAGCUUAACACAACAGCAUCUUUAAAGGUAAGCAUCAAGGAAAAAAAAAAGUAAGAAAAACAAAGCAUGACUGAAGAACUAGAAAAGUGAUUAAAAAACCACAACAAAACAAAAAAUCCAAACAAUAACCUCUUUUUUUCCCUCCCCUCCCCCCACCAUUCCCAAUCCCAGAACAAUAUGGAAUGCUGGCAUUAUUAGAAACACAUGUAAUAAUAAGGUCAGGUAGAAAAAGCAUUAACAAGCAAAACAUGAUUCUGUCUGUUUGUGUCCCUGAGCAAAUUACUGAUGAAGCUGGAAUACUUGAUCAGAAGAUUGAAGAGGAAGCUGCUUUUCUCUUGCUAUGAGAAGGGGUAAAAUGAUACUUUUACAUAGUGAUGCCACAUUCCAAACAUUUGUAUUUGCUUAUCUUAUAGCUACCACAGAGUGGAACAAGAGAGAUGGCCUGUGGCAUGUGAUGGCCAGGUGGUGGCUGACUAGCUGUGCUGCAGAAGCAAGAGUACCUGUUGGGAGAUAUUCAGCAGACGGCCACAUGUUGUCAGGUGGAGGAAGGAAACUCCUUGUUCUUCCUAGCAGAAUAAGCAACCAAAACAAGUACACUUUUCUCUCCUUUGCAGCUGGUUCUCCUGCAUAAUAAUGGGCUUUUACCAUUACAGGGAUUUUGGCCAGGUCAAACACAAAUCCUCUAGGGUUCAACUCUUCAUUUCACUCUUUUGCUUCAUACUGUGUGCUCUACCAGAAAAUGAAACAUAGGGGUUUGUGGGGAAAAAAAACCAGUUUAAAAAAAGGAAAACACUUCCCACUGAUAAGUUUCGCAUUCACAAAAAGGUAACUGAAUCUCAGGUAAUUUUUUCUCAGCCUAAUCUUCAGACUCAGCUGCAGUGAAUAGUCUCAAAACAGCACAUGGUAAGUAGUGUAAUAAAAUGAAAACUAAAUUAUGCAUAAAAACCCACGUUUUUCAAUUUGUGUAGUAACUUUGAUCUCUAUGUGCUAAAUUCUACACCUUUGCAUCUUUAUGUUAAUCUUUCAAAUACAGUGCUGCCCAGACUGAGAGCACCACAUGGCAACUGUCCACAGUGGCAGUGAAAUUCAAGUGCACUGCAUCAGCUACAGCUCCAUCUCCAACAGUGCCAUAGCCCAGGCACUUUGGAGGAGUUCAAGACAUCCUUUAUAAGCAAGUGAAGUUGUAAUUCCAGGCAGUUGCCAGCUACAUGAACCACCCCAAAGAAGUUAUAUUUUUCAUCUUCUUUAAAAUGAGCAAGCUCAAGAGUAGCUGUGGCAAUGAAUUUCAGAAGCUAGUUAUAUCCUGCAGAAGAGACAGCAGAAGAGAAAUCAUCUGUGUGUGCAUUCCAAUCCCCAGAGAAUUAACCUCAUUGCAAAGACUACCAAAGGAGGUAAGAACACUUAGGUCCAUCCCCUUGAAAGCAAAGGACACUGCUGCUUGCGUAGUUCUAGAGAUGCAGAAAAGCCUCCAUCACAGAUAUACCUAAUGUUCACAGACAAAAGCAUUUUUUUCAGAGCAACAAUUUUACAAGCCCUGAUUUAAGGAAGCAGGCAAAUAAAUGAUCAUGUACUACAACAUUGAGCUAGAAAAUAUUUGCUGUUAUUCUUUAGUGUCAGCUACCCCUCUAUUUCACAUAUUCCAAUCACUGGAUACUCCAUGAGAUUUUUUUCUGUUUCUGUCUCAGAAGAUGUAAACAUACCUAAACUUAUUCAAGGAGAAGGCAGCAACAGGGUUCAGCACUUACUAAGGAAAGAGUAACUUUUCACAAUAACACAAGUGUGCAAAAUUCAUUACAAGGCACAGAAUACAUAGAUAUAUCUCAAUUCUCAUUUAUUCAGAAAUAUUUCUCUUGUGAUAUUCUGAAUCACUUUCAUUUUUUUAAAUUUUUUUUUUUUUUAGAAGAAAGCCUCCUCAGGGCAUAUUUGGUGUAGAAGACUUGAUUUGCUGCAAUGGAUCUUUCUAUAUUGUCCAUACACAUGUUAAUUUUCCAGAAUUAACUUCUGGAAAAAAGUACUGUGUUAGUCCAGUGUAUAAAGCAAGUCAUGUUACUGGGCACUGUUUUGCUGCAACAGGGACCUUCAAUUAGUCCCUCCUGCUCUAACCUUCUUCACUACUCAUCUUUACUGUAUCAUCUUCCUGCAAGUAAUGCAAAUUAAAUUUAAUUUCUCUGAAAAGAUGAAAUUUUAGGGUGAUUGAGAAGGAUCUUU